rnacentral:misc_RNA from 1 species
GAAAGACAGACAGAGAGAGAGAGAGAGCAUACCCAUGUUGGACAUGGGUGUUUAUCGAACAAUUGUACCUGGGUCCAUUUUACCAAGCCAAGUACUGAUAUAACAUAAUAUUGAGCAAAAUAAACAGUGAAGUUAUAGGUCAUUACUUGGCAUAACAGUAAAAGUAUUGGGCUUGCCACCACAGGAAGCAAAUUCAAAUCUGUAGAGCAGUUACUCCAUGCAAAAAAGUUGUGGGGGUCUGUAUCCAAAGUUUCUCUACAAAAGUCCUAGGUUCAAUGAAGCAGCGAA